rnacentral:rRNA from 1 species
GCUGGCGACCAUAGCAAGAGUGAACCACCUGAUCCCUUCCCGAACUCAGAAGUGAAACCUCU